rnacentral:rRNA from 1 species
AGGACGAACGCUGGCGGCGUGCUUAACACAUGCAAGUCGAGCGGAAAGGCCCUUCGGGGUACUCGAGCGGCGAACGGGUGAGUAACACGUGAGCAACCUGCCCCUGGCUCUGGGAUAGCCUCCGGAAACGGGGAUUAAUACCGGACAUUCACUCUUCUGGGCAUCCUAGAGGGUGGAAAGUUUUUCGGCCGGGGAGGGGCUCGCGGCCUAUCAGCUUGUUGGCGGGGUAACGGCCCACCAAGGCGACGACGGGUAGCCGGCCUGAGAGGGCGACCGGCCACACUGGGACUGAGACACGGCCCAGACUCCUACGGGAGGCAGCAGUGGGGAAUAUGCGCAAUGGGCGGAAGCCUGACGCAGCGACGCCGCGUGGGGGAUGAAGGCCUUCGGGUUGUAAACCCCUUUCACCAGGAGCGAAUCAAGACGGUACCUGGGGAAGAAGCGCCGGCUAACUACGUGCCAGCAGCCGC